AUGAACGCUGGCGGCGUGCCUCAUACAUGCAAGUCGAGCGAACAGAUGAGGAGCUUGCUCCUCUGACGUUAGCGGCGGACGGGUGAGUAACACGUGGAUAACCUACCUAUAAGACUGGGAUAACUUCGGGAAACCGGAGCUAAUACCGGAUAAUAUAUUGAACCGCAUGGUUCAAUAGUGAAAGACGGUUUUGCUGUCACUUAUAGAUGGAUCCGCGCCGCAUUAGCUAGUUGGUAAGGUAACGGCUUACCAAGGCAACGAUGCGUAGCCGACCUGAGAGGGUGAUCGGCCACACUGGAACUGAGACACGGUCCAGACUCCUACGGGAGGCAGCAGUAGGGAAUCUUCCGCAAUGGGCGAAAGCUUGACGGAGCAACGCCGCGUGAGCGAUGAAGGUCUUCGGAUCGUAAAACUCUGUUAUUAGGGAAGAACAAAUGUGUAAGUAACUAUGCACGUCUUGACGGUACCUAAUCAGAAAGCCACGGCUAACUACGUG
rnacentral:rRNA from 1 species